rnacentral:misc_RNA from 1 species
UCCGACUUGUAGCCGGCAGUCUCUUAUGAGAAUUACAACAUAAGACAUGGGUUGCGCUCGUUUACGGACUUAACCGAACACCUCAAGGCACGAGCUGACGACGACCAUGCAGCACCUGUCAUCCGGUUCCUUACGGCACCCCCGAGUUUCCUCAGGGUUCCGGAGAUGUCAAGCCUGGGUAAGGUUCCUCGUUUAGUAUCGAAUUAAACCACAUGCUCCACCGCUUGUGUGGGUCCCCGUCUAUUCCUUUGAGUUUUAAUCUUGCGACCGUACUCCCCAGGCGGGAUACUUAACGUGUUAACUUGGGCACAGAGAGGGGUCGAGUCCUCCCUACACCGAGUAUCCAUCGUUUACGGCGUGGACUAC